rnacentral:lncRNA from 1 species
AUUUUAAGUCACUUUAAAAAAUAACAAAUGUGUUUUAGGAAACCUAAAAACAACAUAAUAUCUAAUUUCGGGCAUUUUCUUCCUCAACAAGAAAAGUUUGAAUUCUAAAUCACUAAGAAAAUAAUAAUACCAAAAUGUGUUUUGGGAAACGUAAUCGUUUUCCUAAAAAGAAAAGGAAAGGAAACCUAAUUGAGAUUCGUGAAGGGAAACAAUAAUGAUGGCUAAAAACCGGUGUAGGAAGGAAACCCCCAAGGGGGGGUUGAUGAAAGUGGAUUCUAUUAUACACUACCGCCUUUUGUCGCAUUUCCUACUGCUAUUCUCUUCAGGUCUCUUAUCUUCCCCUAUAAAACUCAACCCUCCUUCCUUCCCAAUCUUCACACAGUCACAUUUCUCUCUGUAAAUUCCCAAAGUUUUUCAUUUCCUCCUUCUCUUUCGUAGCAAGAGCUCGAAUUUUUGUAUCUGAUUUUGUGAGAUUUUAGAUGGGUGUUCAAGUUCUCAGUCCCCAGAAUUGCCUCAAAGACUCUCUCUCACCUCAGCAAGCGCUGAUGAAUUCCAAUCGAAACCCUAACCCUAAUCGGGUCAGAACCUCUCCCCAAACCGACCGGAAGAAGCGAAGGCCGACCCGGCCCAACAACAACCCACCCGCUCCGGUCCAGAAACCCGCCGCCCCCAAGAAUAUCGUCAUGGGCCAGGUCAAAAUCCUAAAGCGCGGCGACGAAAUCCCCAAAGCGACUCCGGUUCGGUCACCACCGAAGUGGAAUCCCAAGCCUCAGGUUCCGGAUCUCGGAUCCACCAGCCGGAUGGGUCCUGACCUGAAGGUUCCGGUUCUUCCGAAGCCGGCCAAACUACCGGAACCCAACUGGGCUUCCGGGUUCUACGCCGGGUCGUCGUCGUGUAUAGCUGCGCCUCCCCCGGAGUGCCUACCUCUGCCGUCGUUCUUCGCAAAGAAGAGCGCCCCUUCAAGCACCGAUGAAGCUGCAAGCGUGCUGCUGAAGCUUCUGCGGCUCAAUUUGUCGUAGAUGGGUCGCCGGUCCAUGGCGGACCAAGCAUGUGCAGCAGUAUAGAGACCCCGUCUGGCUAAUGUUCGUGUUGUCUGAUUCUCGCCCUUCCCCUUAUCUUUUCGUGGGAAGAUAGAUGGAUGAGGUCACAAUUCGACCUAACGCUUUUUCUUCUCUUUAGAUUAUGUGCAGCAGUAGAAGGCUUCAUUUUUUUUGUUUCUUUAAAUUUGUUUUUCGUUUUCAAUUAAAUUAGGGUUUGGUUGCAUUUCCUUUGUGUCUUACAGUACAAGUAUAAGAUUAUAUUAGGGUUGGAAGGUAUAGUUUUUCAGGAGCUGUAUCUGUAAAAUUAGGUUAUAUUCUGUGUCCUAAGUUUUUACUUAUAGUUGCAAAUAUGUUAUUAGUGAAAUUUGGUUUUUAAUUAUAUUGGUGUUUGAUGGAAUUACAAAUUGAAACAAACAGAAAUGGGGUUUGAUUUGUGGGAAUUGACUUCUGGGAAUGUUCAAUUGCUGUGGGAUUAUGAUGAACAACAUGGGUUGUAAAGCUAGUAAAAAUCAAAUGGGUUACAACAGUGCUUUUGGCUGGAGCUGUCAAAAGUAAAAGCUAAAAAGCAGUUCUGUAUUUUUUUUUUUUCGUUUUCUUAAAGGUAAAGAAAAGCAGAUGGCUUCCCAAUAAACAGAAUCACUUUUUAUGUCAGUGGAAGGGUCUGCAGCUCAGUUGGGGACAGUUAU